rnacentral:tRNA from 1 species
GCCCCUGUAGCUCAAUUGGUUAGAGCAGCGGUUUUAUAACCCGUCAGCGCCAGAUAAGCGGCUUGUGCCGGUUCGAGUCCGGCCAGGGGCACCA